AACGAACGCUGGCGGCAGGCCUAACACAUGCAAGUCGAACGCCGUAGCAAUACGGAGUGGCAGACGGGUGAGUAACACGUGGGAACGUACCCUUCGGUUCGGGAUAACUCAGGGAAACUUGAGCUAAUACCGGAUACGUCCGAGAGGAGAAAGAUUUAUUGCCGAGGGAUCGGCCCGCGUCUGAUUAGCUUGUUGGUGAGGUAACGGCUCACCAAGGCGACGAUCAGUAGCUGGUCUGAGAGGAUGAUCAGCCACAUUGGGACUGAGACACGGCCCAAACUCCUACGGGAGGCAGCAGGUGGGGAAUAUUGGACAAUGGGCGCAAGCCUGAUCCAGCCAUGCCGCGUGAGUGAUGAAGGCCCUAGGGUUGUAAAGCUUCUUUUGUGCGGGAAGAUAAUGAC
rnacentral:rRNA from 1 species